GGAUAGCCUCGCGGCUCUGCCCCGACCCUUGGUUAUUCCCCUCCGCCCCAAGCCUGGAGAGGCUCCUGGGAGGCCGGCUGCACCGCGUGGUCCGACCGCUUGCAGCCUCUCCCGCGUGGCCGCAGGCAGAGUCCUGACCUUGGCACCAUCCACGCCCCCUCCAAAUUGGAGAACGCCGUAGGUGCGGGCCAGAUCGUGGAUGUACCUCUAGUCUUCACUGGUAUAGAGUGAGCUGGAGUUGUGAGGUUGUAAAGGGGGUACCUGGUGGGUUCGCUGGAGAAAGGGGGGAAACUCUGGGUUGUUGGAAGGUCCCAGAUUCCCGCGGGACCACCAAAGUGCGAUUUCUCUUUCUCGUGUUUGGAGCGACCAGGGACUGCAUUGCGAGGUCGUUGAAACUAAGCAAAACGACAAGCUAGUUACACAAGCCUGAAACAGAUCGCAAACCUUUAGGUGCCCACGCGUGCACCGUGCUUCUUGUCCAAGCGCUUUUUCUUAAGCCUGCUCCGGGACGGGUGGAGUAAGUGCUCCUUUCACGGUCCCAGAGUCUGAUUCAGCCGGGACCUUGCCUUCACGAUGCCUCAGGACCGGAUCCUUUCUCAGAGCAUGGCCAGGAUGGUGGGCCCCUCCCACCCCUUUGUGUAAACAAGAAACUUCUUUCACAAAUGAGGUUUGAGCUGUGUCUUAGUAAUACCUCAGGCACCCUUCUCCCAUCAGACCCAGCUUGGAGACAGUCCCACUAUCUUCUUUCCGAAGGUGGAAUGCUACUUUCUGUUUGAGAGGUCAGGCAGUGUUUGCAAACGUAACCAGAGCAGGUGUCCCAAAGUCCCUGCCAAACAGCUGAGAGACUCAGCCCAGGAGAGAGAGGCACGUUUCAUAGCCUAUCCUUCCUGACCAGGUAGUUGUAGGGAGAAAGUGGCGAGGGGAGGCUUUCCAGGAUCAGAAGUACUGGAGUCACCGCCCAGACGGGGAAGGGACUCUGUUGAUGUGGGAGUUAGUGUUGGGGGGACUGGAUUCUACGGGAGAACAAUGAGAAAUGGCUGCGUGGUGAGGGCUGUUCCUCAGGGAAUGGAGGUUAAAGCCUCUGGGGGUGGCCUGGGACUCCAGCAUGGCCUGAAAGGUUAGAGUAUUCCACUGGAAGGGCCUGUGUCUCUUGAGGAGGGGUGCAAUUCGAGGAAGAUGGGAGCAGCUUAGAGGACCCCAGUCUACAGUUGACACAAUCAGAAGGGAUGACAAGUUUGUGGCCUGCCUUGGCAAUUUCAUGGUGCAUCUUCACACGCAGUCUUUUGGAGGGGGAGCCUCCUAGUACCCUUCAAAAGCCAGAUGGACUUUCAACCUGAUCCCUGGACAUCAAGGCUGCGGUUCUUGUCCGGCACCCGAGAACUGCCUAGGAACCCCAUCUGCUGAGAAGCCCUCUCCAGACUCUACCUCAGGCAGGAACAGUUCAUCGUCAGAGCUUAACAUGUGCCCAGAAACUUGUCCUUGCAAGCAACAACUCUCUUAAGCAUCACCGAGCCCCGGAUACCCAAACCCCGAAAUGUCAUUUUUACAGUAUGUGGCAAUAUAGAGAAGUUCUUUGACAGUGUUUGGUGACCAGGAGGAACGGUUACAGCAAACCUGGGAUUGGGGUGUAGUGGUUUUACACCUUUCUCUAGGUCAGCUCCCUUAGCGGCUGUCAUCAGCCAUAUCUCCCCCCACCCCCAGCCCCAACCUCAGUCGGUGAGAUUCUGUGAUGAGAUGCAAAACUGGAGGCUUAUGGUGAAAGUCUCUGUAACAAAGGAAUUAUCCGGACCGGUCCCCUCCAGCUUUCCUCCUAAGCUGGUGGCUGGAGCACACCCUAGAGGUAAACAACCUUUAUCCUGGGAUUCUUUUGGUGCUUUUCCUUUGCCACAGGGCUAGUCAGACCUUUGCACUCCACUUUCCUAUCUGUGAAGUAGAAUGGAGGGACAGAAGGGGACCGUUCUUUCCACUGCUGUAGAUGUCUUGGCUUUCAUGGUCCUUGGCUGAUGAAAAGGAAGACUGAUUUAGUCCUCUUUGGUUGAUAGCCGGAUGGUGCAUAAAUCCGGGUCAGGAGAAAGAUGGGUUGACCCCAUCUCAGACUGGGCCCCACACUUGUGUGCCUGCGGACGAGGUAGUGUACUUUCCAAGCCACAGCUUCCUACUGAAGUGAUCGCAGGUUCGCAGGUCGUCUUCAUCUGAGCAACGGGAAGGGGAACAGGUUUAACAUUGUUGCCAACCCACUAGUAUCAGCGGCCCCUGGGUACUGCUGUGAAUUGAAUGGGUGUAUUGGGUGCUUCAUGGGCUUGAGCCUCAGGAUUCUGCUGCUGUUAGCAAUUGGCAGUCGGAAUGUGGCUGCUUCCCAGAGACAGGGGGAGGCUGGCUGUCUUAAUGAGCCCAGGGUGAGUUGUGAAGAGCUUCCUGGAGUGUUUUCGUAUGGAGAUUUUUAAAUAAAAAAAGGAUCUGCAGGGGGUGGGAGAGCUCUCCCUAGGGUCACUAAGCUAGGAUGAAUUGUAAGGUGUAGGGGAAAUGCAGGCUGGGGUGUGGGGGAUUGGAGCCACUCUAGGGAGUUUGAGGUAGGCUCUGUGAGGAAUUCUAUAGGGGAGGGAACCAGCCUCUGGGUUGAAGGGAAGGUUCCAGAAGUGGGGAGGAGACAGGGGUUUUCUGACAGGAUUCUUUCUGAGGUAUUCAUCAACAGAGGUAGCCAGACUGAGAGACAGACUGAGAGUCACUAAAGGCACAGAGACUUCAGGUGGGGUGUGGCCUCCGUCCUCUGGAGGUCACGCUACCUCUGUGGAAUGUUAGACUCAGGUGAAGAGAGCCAGAGAGUCUGCCUCUCUUCCUUGGCCCCUCCCUUCACAGAGAGGACACUACCUUUGGAAGCUGAGGGGGAGGGACCAUGGGGUUAGGGUCGCCUGGGGAGGAGGCUGUGGAAUGGGUUAUCUCUUGAGCCUGUGGAACCCUACUGGGCUCCAUAGCCUGCUGUGCCUUAGAGAGCCAGAACCUUGUGGUGAGCAUGUGCUCCUUGGCUGUUGACCUGAAAGAGAAUCGCAGCAGCUUGACUCCUGGGCAAAGAUGUCUACAUAGUGGACUCCCUGUCCAGUUGUGUAGUAGGAGCCAGUCUCUGCUCCAGCCAAUGCUGCCCUCCACAGCCAGAGACAUGAUGAAGCUGCUCUCUGCUUACCCACCUGAGCUGACCAGGAAACCCAGCAGACCUAGAGCCAGGAGGAUUUUCAGCUCUGGGCUCUGUGUCUGAGGCAGGGCAAGGAGCUCAGUUGAUACAGUUUACUGUCACAGCCUGUUCCCAGAAACACUAUGGGACAAGUCUUUCUGUUGUGUGUCUCAUCCACUUGGGAGGCUGUGAAAGAUCCAAGGAAGUGUCAGAUCUGGGAUCAUGACUCCCAGGGCCACAGAAGCCUAAGUGUGUUCUUUAAGUGAAGACUUCAAAGCCGGAUGUGGUGGAGCAUGUCCUUAGUACUGGCAUUCAGAAACGAGGGGAUUUCUGAGUCCCAGGCCAGCUACAUAGUGGCACCAUGUCUAAGAAAAAAAAAAAAGAGCAAGCUUUCAAGAAAAUAAUCUAUUCAAAAGAUAUUUUAUGGGAUGGGACAUGCUUGAACUCUCAGUGUAGCUUUUGGCACUGAAUAAACCCAGCAUGGUGGCACACAUCUAUAGAUCAAGCACUUGGGAGGCUGACUCGGGGUCACCAGAAGUUGAAAGUCAUUGGUUUCAUAGGAAACUGGAGGUCAGCCUAGGAUACAUGAGACCCUGUCCCUAAAAGGAAAACACUGUAAGGAGCUUCUCAUUUGCAGUAAUACUUGAGAUAAGGUUCCUUUAAGUAGCAGCCCACUGCUUAUUCAAAGUGGAAUCCAGGAACUCAGGGGGAAGCUCACAGGGUAGAAUGCUUGCCUAGAAUACACAAAGUCCCCAGUACCAGAGAAAGUGAGCGCAGUCUGUAAUCCUAGUACUUGGAGGGCAUGGGAGGGAGGAAAAUAGGAAGGUCUAGGUCAGCCUAGGCUACAGGAGACCCCCGUCUCAAAGUAAAACACGUAAACGACGGAAACCGGUUGCCCAAGGAUAGUUUCUAUACCAUCUCUGCAAAACUGUUCUAAGACAGACUCCAAGGGCCAAGAGCCACCUGCAACUCACCUGCUAGAACACACUUAUUUUUCAGACGAGAGAGGUGUAGUCCAAGCAGGAGGGACAUUGCCUGCUUCUGUGUGUUCCCAAGGGCCUGGCAAGAGACAAGUGUGUACAAGUGUGUACAACUGACCUCAGCCUUUUUGGUGUCAUUUCUCUUCUGGCGUCUGGAGGAAUUUAGUGAAGGUCAGUUAAUAUAGCCUUUAACCAAAUCUGUCCCUUCCUGUCUACCAUCAAGGCAAUUGAAGCUUGCUGUUAUCUGGCCAGUCAACGCCAGUCACGGAGCUGGCGGCCUGAGUUGUGAUUGUGUAUGUCAGUGUCCCCAAUGGGCCUGAGAGCUCCUGUGGCAUCCACAGCAGCCAGCCAGUACCUGCAAUAAACAGGUGGUCAAAGAGGUGCUCACAGGAAAAGCAGCCUCAUUGCUAGCUUUCUAAGCCUCAGCUUCCCGAAUCUGAGACACAGGCCCACCAAUAUAGUCACUGUGUUGGCCACUGGGCUGACAGUUCUUUUCCUACUCUCUCAGGCCACACCACCACCCCCUCUCUCUUCCUUUGUACCCUCAUCCCCCUCAGGUCAGCCACCUCAUACUUCCCUAGGGCCAGGGUGCAGGGUGACACCCCGUCCGCCAAUUGUCAUAGCCAAAAUGCUACAUGCUUCAACUCCAAGGGUAGAGAAUUGUGAGGAGUGACCGAUCUAGGCUUGCAUUCUAUUCUUUUGAAUAGAUUAACCAUGUUGGGGUGCAGGGAGCCUCCCUCAAGAUCCCACAUGUCAGUUCAAACCUUGAAACUAUCUGAUUGGUCAAGUAGACAGGGCAAUACUGUGACAAGGCCCAGGCAUUCUGUGAUCCCUAAGCACACAGCCAAUGUCUGAGGAGCUCAAAUCCACAGAACUUAACCUGAGCUGCAAGGCUCGCUUUUGAGACUCCCGUCUAACUUGAUGCCCCUGCUGCUCUCUGAGAGCAUCCCCACUAGUGUCACAGAGUGCUAAAGCUGGGAGAGCACAAGCUUGCCACUGGGUAGCCUCUAUUUCUGUCCAUUCCAGAGAAGGGAAGUUGAGGCACAAGACUUACAGUCUGUUCGCCACCUAACAUUCUUUCCUCAAACAUUCUCAGGCUCCUAGCGUCUCACUUCAAGACUUCUUUUAUCUUUUAGACAGUUUCACAGAACUCCAGCUGGCCUGGAACUGCCCUGUGUAGCCAAGGAGGGCUUGACUGUCUUAUUCUCCUGCCUCCACCUCUAUGUAUGUAUCACCGUGACCAACUGUUUGACACAGUGCUGGAGAUUAAAUGAAAGGCUUCAUGCAUGCUAGACAAGCAUUCUACCAGCUGACCUAUCACACCCUGCCUAAGUGUCACCUUCUCGAGAGAGCUUUCCAGGACAUAGAACCUACCCCCUCCCCAUUUCCUUGCCCUCCAUGCUCUUUCCCAUUGCAUGCCCCCCCCCCUCCACCGCUAGACCAGCAGUUUUCAACCUGUGGGUCAUGACCCUUUAACAGAGGUUGCAUAUCAAAUAUCCUGCAUAUCAGAUAUUUAUAUUACCACUCAUAACAGUAGCAAAAUUACACUUAGGAAGUAGCAACAAAAAUAAUUUUAUGGUGGGGGAGGUCACCACAACAGGAGGAACUGUAUUUUAAAGGGUUGAAGCUUUUGGAAGGUUGAGAAACACUGUGCUACACUGUAUCAUGAGGGCUGAAACAUUUGUUAGUACUGUAGCCACAGCCUCUAGAAAAGUCCCUGGCCCAUAGUAGAUGAUCAAUAAAUGCUUGCCAAGUGAGUGAGUAACGGGCAGAGCUGGUUUGAAGCCUAAAGGUUCAUGUACCAACUCUGUACCCUCCACUCCUGACCUGAGUCCAGAAUGUGGAGAUGGCUGCCAGGAGCUGGCCGUGGAUCUUGGAGAAAUAGACAAGUGAGCAUGAACGGGGAGACUCUGAGGAGGAGAGCCACAGGAGUUCAGUAGCCUCGGGUCUCCUGUGUGGCUGUGUGCUCCUCACCCUAAAAGUCCUUCAGCGGAGACAACAUCUAAGACAAGUUACGUUGUUCGCAUAUUGGAAGUUCAGGGUACUACAAUGUUGGUUCUGCCCUCAUUAGCUCACAGCCCUACGACCCACAAUAGGAUCACACCUGUCAGGUAAAAGGGAAGGAAUAAGAACACCACUCACUGUAGCUCCUCCUUUGAGGUAUCUACCCCAGACUACACAUGCACUUUUCCAAGAGCAUUUUGCUGAACUGAACUUAAUCAUAUGCUGAUAUCUAACUGCAAGAGAAUCAGGAAAGAGUGCUUUCCUUCGGAAAGAGUAACUUUCAUUUGACCAAAUAUAGCUACUGUUAUAAAGAAGCAGAGAUGGAUACUGAGGUAGGUGCCUGGCAAGUUCCACUGGAGGCCUUGUUUGUGGCUGCCUCAGGCUGCUUGUGGUUCUAGUCAGCCCUCCUUUCCCUGAUGCAUCAGUUCCCGCUGUGCGGAAGGGAAGGAGAGUUAAUUGGUUUCUCCUCGGCCUUAGGCAUUGAUGCCUCUGACCUCCUGCAGUUUGGAGAGUCUAGGUGUGGGGUAAAAGGGAAAAGAGCCUUUUAAGGAAGAGAAACCAGUUCCCUAUCCAGGCUCCCCUGUCCUCAGCUAGGCCACCGAGCCAAUUGUCCUGAAAUUUCCCGUGAGCUGCAGGGCAUCCAGGGGAAGCGUGGAGGAGGACUUGGGUUCCCCCACUGGCCUGGGGAUAGGAUCGGAAUAUCUCUGCAUGCAUGUGCAUGAGUAGAGUACACACUCAGACACCCACACCACACCAUACCACACCACACCACACUACAUCACACCCACCACCUUCAUGUUUCCAUGGAUACAUGUAUGGGCAGAGGGCAAACAUUUUCUCUAGUUCUUUUUUUUUUUUGGUCUUUUUUUUUUGGAGCUGGGGACCGAACCCAGGGCCUUGCGCUUCCUAGGCAAGCGCUCUACCACUGAGCUAAAUCCCCAGCCCCGGGCAAACAUUUUCUAAGAGUCCCGCACCAAACUGCACCUAGGUGGGCACAUCUGUGGCAUCAGGAAAACCCGGAUUGACAAAAUGCCAAAAGACGAGGGGAGCGCCCCCUAGGGUCUUUGUUGGGAGGUGAGAAACAGCUGGAGCCAAUGAUUGACAAGCCUGGUAGAGGUGCUCUGUGGAGCUACCUAGGGGCUACCAAGAGCAGGGGUGGGUGGGUGGACAUAUUUGAAAGAAAACUAAGAGUUUACUUAUCAUUUUCAUCUGGGGGCAAGUUUGUGUCUAUCCAUUGAGCAUAACUGCAUUUGUGUGUUCUGCCUGGGAGUUCCUUGGAGAAAAUGUUUCACUGUCAGGACGAGGUAAAUGGAGAUAUCGUGAUACAAUGUCCCAGACUUUGGAGUCACAGGCUUGGGAUUUAGCCUCCACUUUGCCUCUUACUUGCUGGCCCGUGACCUUGGACUUGCUCCUGGGCCUUGGUUUCCAAUCAGCGUAAUGAACCCAUUCCUUAACUGGUUAAAUAGAGUCACGGGAAGUGGUGUGCCAGUCACAUGGCAAAGCAUAAGUAAUAUUUUGACUUUAUUUAUUCCUUUUCUCAAGGACAAACCUAGCCAGUUAUGGGGUGUAAUUAAAUAGAUUCUGCUUCUGGCAUCUUCCACCCAUGGUACCUUCUUUAGGUCAAGCUUUCUCCUUCAAGGCCAAGGUGACUGACUAUCUCCUGGCCAGGUUAUGUAGGACCACCGUUUGAGGCUUAGUUUCAACCAGAUGAGAAUGUUCAGAGGAACUUAGCUUAGUAGGUGUUCUGGACUCUAGCCCCACAUUCCUGGUUCCCACCCAAUGUUUCUCACCUCAGCCCUGGGCAGUGGGUGCUCUCCUCACCUUUAGGUUCUCAGGCUUUCCUGAAGCCACAGGUGUGCUGAUCCUGGGAGCCCCCAAGACUGUGGUCUGGGCUCUCAUGGCCCCUCUUCUCUACCGGGAUCAAUGCCUAUGUGAUUGGCUGAUGGUUUCCCUGGGCAGUCCUGCUGCAUAUCUAUCUGCCAGCUCCCUUUUCAGUCCCACCAAGCAACUUCCUUCCUGGUGUCAACCCACCCUACUCAGACUCUGGCAUCCUUUUCUAGUGAUGCCAUCUGCCAUCCAAACAUGGUGUGGUGUGGGCUUUGGGGCUUCCAGCUCCACAUUUUCCUACUCUGGCGAUGGGGUGGGGCAGGUAGAGGUGGAAAGAGAGAUUUACAAAGCUGCAGGCCUCCUGCUGAGAGCCUGCAGGGGAGGGAAGGGGAGGAGAGGGGAGGAGAAGGGAGGAGAGGGGAGGGAAGGGGAGGGGAGAAAAGGAGAUGUUUUCCUACAAAGCAGAGAACCGGGAGAAAGGAAGAAAGUUUAAAGUUCUCACAGAUCUGUGUGCCUCAGCACUCCAGUUGGGACACCAUUGCAUGCCUCAGUUUACCCAAAAGGUAAAUCAGGGCUAGCAUCAUAGGGGGACUGUGUUUGUACUUUCACAGUGCAUACAGCAAGCUGCUUACCAAACUGUCUGAGAAGAACACUAGUGGCCCCUCAAGAUUUAAUAGGCUGGCUCUCAGCAGUGCUUGGUCAGUGAGUUAAAUACGUGUCCUAUGAUUAAAAGGGAAACUAUGAUGCAAAUUUGGAGAAAUGCCACCUACUCUUUCCCUUCAUUAAGGCUCAGUGCCAGUCAGUCAAUCAAUCAAUCAAUCAAUCAAUCAAUCUCCAUCCCUUUUUUCAUUACCCUCCCCCUUGGUUUUUUGAAACAGGGUUUCUCUUUGUAGCCUUGGGCUGUCCUGGAACUUUCUGUGUAGACCAGGCUGGCCUCAAACUCAGAGAUCCCCCUGCCUUUGCCUCUGAGUGCUGGGUCUAAGGUGUGCACCACUGUUGCUGGUUCUAAAUACAGUCUCGUGUUUCCAUUCCUACUGACCUGACUGUAGCCCAGCACCCCUGAUAUACUGUAGCAUCGAAUAGAAAAUAUCUAUUUCUCUUUUAAGAGAACAUAUAUAUUACUGGGCAUGGUGGCAUAUGCUUUUCUUUAAUUCCAGCAUUUGGGAGGAAGAGGCAAGCAGAUCUCUUAUGAAUUUGAGGCCAAUCUGGUCUCCAUAGUGAGUUCUAGGUUAGCCAAGGUUAUAUAUACAGUGAGACCCUGUCUCAACACACACACACACACACACACACAGAGAGAGAGAGAGAGAGAGAGAGAGAGAGAGAGAGAGAGAGAGAGAGAGAGAGAGCGGGAGGAAGGUGAGACCAUAUAUUUCGUAAAGUACUCAGGCUCCCUCUGUCAGGACGUUUGGGGAUAGGCAGUGUCUCCACUUGCCUAGACAGACAGGCUGUCUCCAUUAUAAGUUCCAGACAAUCUGUAAAGACCUGGACCACACUGCAAAAUCAUCAGUGAAAACACUUUGAUCUAGGGAUAGCUGGGAAAAGAGAAAAUGAACUCCCCAGAGAGCUCUUCCAGAGGAUUUCUAGGGAAACCAGGGUUACCAGAGGCCAUGCUUAUGAAGGUGCUUGAACCAGGUGCAUGGGAACAAGUUGAAAAGUCCUGGAGCACUCUCUGGGUGUUAGCCAGGCUUGCUCCUCAGUGGGAAGGAUUAGGGGUGGGAGCUGAGGAUGCAGUUCAGUUGGUAGAGUGCUUGCCUAGCCCAGAGCCCUAGCUUUGACCUUCGAUACCAUUUAAGCCCAGCAUUGCAUCAACUAGGCUGUGAGAGGACCUAUACUUGUAAUCCCAGCACUGGGGAGGUGGAGACAGGAGGAGCAGACGUUCAAAGUUAACCUUUAACUUCAUAGAGUUUGAAGAUAGCCGAAUCUGCAUGAGACCUUGUUUCAAACAAACAAACAAAAACCAAAAACCAAACAAACAGAAACUGGGUUUGUGGACCCUUGUUUCGGGGUUUUUGAUCUGUUGAGUUCAUUGCUGACUAACAGUUUUCUGGUUGCUCUUGGCUCCACUUUCCCUCCCCUGCCUCCUGCCCGAUUCCUGUAACACCUCCCAGGUAUCUCAGGUCACAGGUGUCAGAGAGAGGAGGCAUUCUGGAGCAUGUAGAGCUGCUGUAGAGCUGGUUAAGCAGGGCUGAGGUAAGCCAAACGGUAGCCUGGGGAGCCACUGGCCAGCUUAGCUUCUCUAGCAGCUGCUGCCCCUCAUCCCACUAAUCCCCCAACAGUGACAAGGAACACCCCUUGCUGAAGCAGGAUCAGCCCCCACCCCAGCCUGAGUGCAGUGUGUUCCCUGUCUCUUCUUCCUUGCAUUGCUGGGUCACAAUCCAACUAGGAGCGCCCCACACUUGCUUUUUGUUGUAAGGCCACCCUGGUUCUGGCUUUGUGGCUUCAGAGGGCUUGCAGGGCUGUAGCUCAGGAGAGGCAGGAUAUGGGAUCCUAUUGUCCAUUCUCCUUCCCCUGGGCUCCCUGGGGUGGGAUGGGGUAGGCGCUUAGGCAGGACAGUUUCUGGGUUUAUGCCCUCAAGCUCGGGGAGAACCUGAGAGUUCUGUCCUGUAUGCUCACAGAACAUUCGUAGUGACAGAUUCCAGGACACCUUAGGACAAUCACAGGAACGUGCCAGCUACAGCUCUCCCUGGGCCUUCUGUAACUAUAGCUAUGGCUGCCCAUGUGUGCCGCUCGGAUAUAUGUGGCAGAGAGGCAUGUUGGCAGGGGGAGUAAGGAGAGGUGGAUCAUGGGAACUCAUGAUUGCACUGUGGGGCAGGGAGAAAGAGAAGGCUGGCUUGUAGAAGAGGCCGUUCCUCCUGGACAGCAUGAAGUCUCCUGCUGGCCUCGGUUUUCUCAUCUGCAAAUAAGGAACCAAUGGAACAGCUCCUGGGGUGUCUUCAGUUGGCUUCCACUCAUCUGACCAUUUGACUUCAUGUGUGGAUACACCCAAGGAGGGGGAUCUAGGAACAUGUUGUGUUGAUACUCUGACCUACUGUGGAUGUCUUCAGGGGAGGUGUCUUAAAGGCAGUGGCCUGCUUAGGACAGUCUGGGAUGCUGCCAACCCCUGGAUCACAGUAGAGGACACAAGUACCUGCCCAUAGUGCCAUGGAAGCCUCCCUCCUUCUCACUGCAGGUCAGAUGAGCCCCUUCCCCUGUCUGUCUAAAAGCUAAACGAGGCAGAAGCUGAGGUUGGCAGCCCAGGGCUAUUCAUGUUUCAGGGCAAGGAUAAAUGGCUGUACUAGACCACAGGGUUUCUAGAUGGCACAGAAGAGUGACUCUGGCCAUCUGUCACAGUCAGAGUCAAUUUCUCACUUGUUGGGAUGGGAUCAAGUGGUACCCAGGGUCCCCUAGCUCUGACAUGACCGUGAGAGGCAGAGAAAAAAAUGCCAAGGGUAGGUCCCAGAGGUUUGCAUUCCUGAUACUUCAGCUUCCCUGGGGCCUCUGCGACUCCAGCUAUGGCUGCACAUGUGUGCUGUGGGGCUGUAGGCAGGGGGAGCAAGGUGAGGUCAAUCAUCUCUCCACAGGAUUGAGCUGUGGUUCAAUCCUGGGUGAUGGAUGAACGUCAAGUGUUGCCAAUGAGCUGUGUUCAGAGCUUCAUUCCCUGGAUUUUAUCGAGAAUAAAAGGACCUAGCCACUGACUGUGGAGCAUUGUAGACUUAGCCACAGCCUGCCCUGAGUGCUCAGUGGCUCCCUGCCUGGCCUCAGCUUACCCAGCCUGAAGGAUGGGUAUCCAUUCCUUUGCCUGGGUAACUCCGGGCAUAUCAGCCUGUCCCAGUAGGGACCAGACUCAAAGGGAUGCUGAGACAAGCUGAGGACCUGCUUGUGCUGUUGGUCAGUCUGGAAUGGAGGGAUCCUGGUUGGUGUGGAGCUGUCUCUACUUUCCAGGUUCUGGAAAGGGGCAGAACCUUCCCUACCCACCUCAAGGCAAACUUCAAAAGCAAGCUCCAGUGAUCUAAGACAGCCAGACCCUUUCCAUGACUUGGGAAACUUCAGAAGGAACAUUGAAUGCAGCUCCGGAUUCCUAAGAAAGGUAGAGCUUUAAAAUAGCCCCCAUCCUGCAUAUGCAUUUGUGUGCAUUUAUUGUGGUCAUGUCCUCCGUGUGAUGUCAUUAAACCUCGACAGCCUUAGGGGAAUGAGCAUGUGCCGUCUGGACAUCUGCUUCUCAGUGGCUGCCUGGAUUCUUGGCUCACAUCUUAGGCUGAACCUAUAGAAAGUAACCUGUAGUAGACUCCCCAAUGAGUUAAGACUUGGUUUUAAAAGGAGCCAGCCCUCGUGGCUUAGCUUAGCCAUUGACUUGGUUUGCUCACUCCUCACCCACUCCCACAGAAGACCAGACUUGUGCCCUCUGGUGGGUGGUCGUGCUUCCCCCUCCUGGGUCCGGCUGGGGAGUUGGGUAAUGGAAUGCUCGCUUUCUUAUUUUUUGCUUCAGGAUGCAUCAGUUGGAGUACGGAAGAAGCCAAGCUUUGGCAAAAUGGUUUCCCCAACACCACUCUGCCCCAAGCACAGGGGUGGGGAAGGUGUAACAGUGAGAAUUAUUCUUCAGCCAGAAGCUCACAGGUGUCUUUCCUGGAAGAGGGACUUGUGCAGCACAGAACACACAAAGCUGGAAAAUCUGGGAAGCUACACUUGAGGUCACUUGUGGUCAUGACCCCUGGCUUCCACCUGACGAAAGGCAGUCAUUCCCAGGGAAGUUCACAGGUUCCAUUUCAGAGACGGAACCUGCAAUCUAGUUCCCAGAGACACCGUUCCACAGCUGGGAAUGCAGGACUUCCCUCUGGCUUCAUGCCUUUGUUUGUGUCAGGCCAAGAGUGGAGGCUGGUCCCUGGCAGAGGAUUCCAGGGUCCACUUCGAAACUGUACACAUCUGGCUAUGUUCACGGGACAGGGAGGUGGCGUGGGAAUGACACUGCGCCACCCCCUCAGAAAAAUAUUUCCCGAGGUUGUUUUUGACUGCACUGUGAGGGGAAGAGUGCCAAAUGCACACGCGCUGUGACUCUGGAAGUGUGAGUUUGCCCAGGAUCGAGUCCUAGGCGCUCUGCUGGGAGGAGCCAACACCACAAGGGGCCAAUACCAAAGUGAACGAGUGUUGCUGAAGGAGAAGUGUAGCCCUCUCGUCCCCCUAGGUUGCCCUGGGUUCCAGUCCAGCUUCCUCACAUGGCUGGGAGACUAGUCCCACCUAGCCACCCAAGCCAGUAGUCUGCUUCUCCUCACGUAUAAGGGAAACAAAGUAGUUAAAGCAAUGGCCUGGUUGGUGUAGAUAGGCUGUGUCUGGCCAAUAUGUGAGCGCUUUAGUAAAUAAACCUUGAUGGUUAAGUUUAAGAGGUAGGCUUUGUUUUGUUUUGUUUUGUUUUGUUUUUGAGAUAAGAUUAUUUCUUCUGCAUAAAAAAAGUCCUAGCUGUCCUAGAACUUGUUCCGUAGACCAAGUUGGCCUCAAACUCAGAGAUCUGCCUAUCUCUGCCUCCUGAGUGAGUGCUGGGACUAAAGGUGUGCCAGCAUUGCCUGGCAAGAGGUAGAGAGGCGUUAUAAUAGGGGGAUGAAUGGAAAAUUGCACUGAGAGAAAGACAGAGAGAGAGACAGAGAGCAGACUCACAGAGACAAAGAGACAGAGACACAGAGACAAAGACAGAGAGACAAACAGCAUAUCCACACCUCUGACUUGGUGUCUCUGUGGUCACAGGUAUAUCAAGACAUACAUUGUCUAGACUGGGCCAAGCACUGGUAUCCCCAGUCCACCAUAGGGUGUUGGAUCCUGUCUGGCUCCCCUUGCCUGCAGUCUCUGAGCAUUUGAGACUCUUUUGUUGCUUUCUUCAAGGUAUAUGCUUGUUUCUCUCUCUCUCUCUCUCUCUCUCUCUCUCUCUCUCUCUCUCUCUCUCUCUCUCUCUCUCGUAUGCUCAUUUUGACCCAUGGUUGUCAGACAGGAAAUCCAGGUCCUGGGAGACCCUGCUCACAUAAAUCUCAGGCCUUCCCUUGUUCUCUCUGUGGUGCCCGUUGAAACUGCUAUGACAGGGUGAAGGGCUCCUUUGGGAAACACUUUUCCAGGAGCCGUCUUCUAUUGUGGCUUCGUCCAGCAACCUGUGUUGGCAGGUGGGAGGGAGGGCAAGGCAGCUGGGCCUCACCUCUGUCCCUGCCCACCACUGGCAGUGGGCAGGCUGCCCCUGGGCACCUUGCCCAGACCGACUGACUGGGAUUCACAUGGCCAGCCACAGGCCAGGAGAUUAGGAGGCCCUGUGAGGGUGCUGUUGAAGGACACUAAUGGCUGGCUCAUUCCUCCUCAGGAAGAUCCAGCCCCUUCCCUUCUCUGGGCAGGCUGGCAUCCUUAGACGAGGCUUCCAGUAGAGAUAGAGCAACCGUGACUGGCAGGGAAGCAGAGGCAGGGGGAAGAACCAGAGGGAGCAGCCGUGGGCAGCUCUCAGCAGCAGGGCAGAGCUGAGCACAGGAUGGCAUUCCAGGCUCUCUUCUUACCCUCCUCUCUGAGUCACAGAAUGUUCCUAAGAUUCCUGCUGAGGGCUCAAGGGUAGAGCUGGAGUAAGAUUGGGGCCUUGACCUCCCUGGAGAAGCACCAAGUGGGUGGGAUAUUGCUCACACUGGGCCUCUCCAAGUUUUAUCAGAGAAGAUGGGAGAGAUCACUCAGCUGUGACCUUAGCUGGCUGGGCCCCUUCCCCUUCAGCCUCAUGUGGAAACUGAGGGUUGCUCAGCUUCCGAAUGAGCCUUAGAGCAGGAUGCUGGCUCUAGAGAACUCUGUCUCUGUCCCACCACUGAUAGCCAGAGGCUGUUGGGGCAGAGCUGAGUGGGGUGGCCACGUAGAGAAGACCCGACUCGGGCUGGGGUACAUGGGAAUGGGAGCCCCUGGUACGAUUCUUCUAUCCCUGCUCUGCAGGACCUCAGCAACGGGCUCUUCCAGUCCUGUCACUGGGCUGCCUGAAGUGCACACAGAAGUUCAUGGGAAUGGCCUGCAAUGUAUGUUGUACUGCCGUUCAUAAUGGCCUAAAGUAAGCUGGGAUGGCGGAGUCCACCAGCAGCAGUAGGGCUGUUCCAAGCAGGUCCACGCACCAAUUAAAAGUGGAAAGCAGAGAAAGACUUUACUGUGGCCACACUGUAAAAGUCCAGCAAAUGCCCAAGUCCAUCUUUGGGGUCCUGAAGUGAAGGGCCAAAGAUGGACACAUCUAAGAAGUGCUGGUCAGGGUGUAGUCCUGCCCACCACUGACUGAAACUAGGCUUCGGCAUCCAGCAAGAUGCUCUCUAACAAGUUACUGAACUAUGAGACAUCUCCCUGGGAAACUAGUUCUCCCUCUGGCUGCUGACUUGUCUUUCUCCCAGCAUGAACUCCCUGGGGAAAUGUCCACUUCUUCGGGGUCCAUUGUUUGAAACAUCUGAUGGAUUAAGAGACAAGUAUGUCUUUAAAUUAUCUUAAUUUCUGUCAGACCCAGUACAGGAUACAAACAAAUAAGGAAUGGGUGUACUUGCCCUGUGAAACAAUAUGAGGAGAGUUAACAAUCACAAACCAUGAAGUGCCAAGUGGUAGGGGUGGUGGUGGCGGUGGUGGUGGUGGUGAUGAUGGUGGUGGUGGUGAUGGUGGUGGUGGUGGUGAUGAUGGUGGUGGUGGUGAUGAUGGUGGUGGUGGUAGUGGGAUGAUGGUGGUGAUGGUGAUGAUUGUGAUGGUGGUGGUGGUAGUGAUGGUGGUGGUGGUGGUAGUGAUGGUGAUGGUGGUGGUGAUGGAAAAUUCAAAAAGGCACAAUGGGGCUGCAGAUACAGUUUGGUCACAAAGUGCUUCACUAACAUGUGUGACACCCUGGGUUCAAUUAUUAGCACCUCCUGCUUUGGGAGACAGAUAGAGAAGACAGUGCAGACUUAAAUAAAGGUCCAAUUUUUUUUUUUAAAUUUAGAGAAUACUUUAUUAGUUUUUGUAAUCAAACCCACGUAGAUAAGACCUUACAUAUUUAAUACAGUGUGUUACCCCUGUACAAAUGGAAAAAACUUAAGUUCAACAUUUCUAGACCAAUAUGGCUGUUAAUUUCUGUACAGUGCCAACUCAACACAGUAAACGGGGAUACUUUUUUCCAAAGUUGACAGCACAGCUAAAGUUUCAAAAAAUUCAAAUUAUAUAUCUGUAUAUAUAUUAUAUUUAUAUAAAAAGACCAAUAAUAGUAGUGUGUUAUGCAUCAACAGCAGCAACAGCUUUUCCAGGUUCUGCAGUCAUCUGAACAAAACUGUAGAGACAUCCAGCACACUCCAUUAAAAAAAAAAAAAAAAGUAAAAAAACAAAACCCGAGAAAACAGCACAGUUCUGUUACUCUUGUGGUACCUGGCACCAUUUUUUUUUUAAAUUAGCUUCUCAAUCAUCAUCUGGAAAGAAAACAUUCUGAGCAACAUCAUUAAAAACAGCUCUGCUAAAGCACGGUCACUACUACGUAUCAUAAAGCAGGUACAAGCUAUUUUACAUCCACAGAGGUAUGAUACAGUACUGUCCUACAUCUAUAAUACUAGAGGAUACAAUUUAAAAGGCAUUAUUUGAGACUUGAUUCUACUUUUCCAGCAGAGGGCCCAAAGGAUGGUGUGACACAGCUUUGUAAAGAAACAUACUCUAGACAGGAUUUCCUUUCACUAGUGGCACAGUUCUAAGGAUUCAUUCUCUCCAUGAAUGUCAGCUAAAACCGUUAUUAAAAAAAUGAAAUAUCCCUAGAACAAAACCUUAUAACCACCGGAUUCACAUGAAGAUGACCUAGUGGAGACAAGCUGGACCUCACCUUACCAACAAGCUAUCAAAUCUGUUAUGUUUAAACAGUGAGACCUCCAAGGAAGGAGAUGCCAAGUAGUGCUUCAAAGCUUCGGACCACAAUCAAACACAGCAUCCUUUUCAACAGAAGCAGAAGCUCAAGGGUGCUGACAUCAACAUUUAAUCAUCUCCUCACUCAUCCAGGAAGAAGGGGAGAUCAGUUACUACUGUACUUUAUUGUGUUCAACCAAAUCACCAUGUUACAAAAAUAGCAAGCUGCCAUAAUAAAAAAUAAGGCUCCUCUAUCCAGCACCAGAUAGCAUCAUUUUACUUUCCAGCCUAGAAAUUGCACACUUGUAUAUAAACCAACCGAAGAUGAGGAUUGAGAGUUCAUCUUAGUGGAUUUUUCCUUUGAUGAAUAUGAAGUGUCCUUCCUUAUCUUUUUUGAUGACUUUUAAUUGAAAAUUGAUUUUAUUUGAUAUUAGAAUGGCUACUCCAGCUUGCUUCUUCUGACCAUUUGCUUGGAAAGUUGUUUUCCAGCCUUUCACUCUGAGGUAGUGUCUGUCUUUGUCUCUGAGGUGUGUUUCCUGUAGGCAGCAGAAUGCAGGGUCCUCAUUGCGUAUCCAGUUUGUUAAUCUAUGUCUUUUUAUUGGGGAGUUGAGGCCAUUGAUGUUGAGAGAUAUUAAGGAAUAGUGAUUAUUGCUUCCUGUUAUAUUCAUAUUUGGAUGUGAGGUUAUGUUUGUGUGCUUUUAGGUCCAAUUUUUAUAGUCUUUUUGAGAUGUAUCUGUCCUUUUUAAUCCCCCCUCUCUUCGUGUGUGUGUGUGUGUGUGUGUGUGUGUGUGUGUGUGUGUAUGUACGCGUACGCAUGUUCAUGUGACUGAGUGUCGAUAUGCCAAGGUAUGAACCCCAUCUAUCCCAAGUCUAUCAUGUUGUUGUUGGGCAGUGAGGCACAUCCUGCUGCACACUCAGCUGCACACCCUUCUAUGCUGUGUUCCUAGUAGUCCUAGGAACAGAGUCUCUUAGAGGCAGCUCCCCUAGCCACCAAGCGAGGAAGUGUCACAGGCCCAUUAUAGGACAGCCAGGUCAAGUGGAUCACUUCUUGGUCAGUCAAGCCUCUCUUCCCCAAAUUGUCUACUGGAGUCAAAUCUCCAUCUUGGUCACCUGGAUGUGUCUUGGUUGGGGUUCUCAUGAACAUGGGAGAAAUAAGAAUUUGGCCUGGCAAGAAAUUCCGGCACAUAGGCGGACUCUGCCUGUGGUGGGAGAUUAAUGUGUGGAGGGAGCCUUCUGACUGGUGGGUUCGAGAGCACACUAGGGUUGGGAGGGCUGCCGCAGAUGUGAGGAUGACCUCCCAGAACCAGCCAGGUCUACAUGACUGAAGUUCGGCUGACAGUUAGUUCCUAGUAAUUAACAUGAAAUAGAAAACUAGAAAGCCAAGCACCUCAAUGGGACAGGUUUUUUUUAAAUGUAUUCUUCUUUCAUACAACACAUCUUGAGCAUAAAUUCCCCUCGCUCUACUCCUCCAAGUCCCUUCCCCCAUCGUGCCUCUUCCCCAGAUCCACUGCUCCUCCAUUUCCCUUCAGAAAGGAACAGACCUCACAGACAUUAGGUAGAGCUUAGUGAACUCCUCCAAAUAGAGAGAGAGGAAAGGGUUGUAGGAGCCAAAGGGGUCGAGGUCACCAGGAGAACACAGCCCACAGAAUCAACUAAGCAGGACUCACAGCGGCUCACAGAGACAGAUUUGGCAAUCACGGUGACUGCAUGGGUCUGCACUAAGUGCUCUGUACAUGCCGUAGUUGUUUGGCUUACGGGACUCCGAACGUUGGCAGUGGGGGUGUCUCUGACUCUUCUGCCUGCUCUGAGGACUCUUCCUCCUACUGGGUUGCCUUGUCCAGCCUUGAUAUGCGUGGGGCAGUUUUUAAAUUGAGGAGGAAGAGGCUAUUGUGAGGCUUCCCUGGGACCCACACCACCAGGCUCCAGGCACCUAUUCUGGUGGGAAGGGAAGCGGAAGGCAAGUUGGGUGGAGCGGUGGCUGACCGUACCCAGCUGGCACUGAUAGUCCCUCGAGAGCCAGGAUGUAUGGCCCCUGUUGGCAAGACCCUGGAAUACGUUAGGUGUCUACUAGGGCAGAGUACCAUGUGGGUGGCAGGGCUGCAAGGUGGAUGGGCAUGGUCCCUCCCCUAUAAGCAGUAGGGAGUGUUGUUGUUGGUAACAGCCAUUCAGAGGGCAAGAAUCCUACAAGGUCCCAUCACAACACCAAUCAUCUGGGUCUGUUGCUGAGCUGUAUAGAACUUUAGGUCUGUAAAUUAAUUUCUACAUUUCCCUUUUUUGGGGGGAGGGUUAGGUAACAGGUUGGUUGUUUUCUCAGGGGUUGAGUGUAUUUUCUCUGUUUGUAUGUGAGGCCUUGGCUCUGCUUCUAAUAGCAGGCUUACAAGUGACACUGAGAGGCUCUAGGGAAACCAUAGAGCUGGAUUUGUAGCUGGAUGAAAGCAGAAGCUUCAAUCCCCACCCCCACAUCAAAGGUCUGCCAAUAGGCAUUUGUCUGUAUGCGGUUGUAAAUAAAGUUUUAUUGGAAU